rnacentral:sRNA from 1 species
GUGAGAAAUCAACCCCUCCUCAUACAAAUCAUAUCAUCAUCUUCAACAUCAUACAUCUAUAUCAAAUAUUCAUUCAAUCAUCAUAAAUUUUAUAUUUUUAAAUUCAUUAUAUAUCUAGCUUCCUUUUCUGCUAUCACAGAAGUAUUGAUGAUGAAUAUUGGUUGAGAUAUUACAUUAUGAAGAUGGGUGAUGUUUUGAGAUCUCAUGCUAAUGUUUUUGUUUUGAGAUUAGGAUAGAACACCAUCCAUCCAUCCCCAUAAAUCUAUCACUGCUGGAGAAAUAUCAUCGCUAGAUAUCAUUGCUAGAUAUCAUCGCUAGAUAUCAUCGCUAGAUAUCAUCGCUAGAUAUCAUCGCUAGCUAUCAUUUCUAGGUAUCCUAAUCUAGUGAUAGAUGUUGAUGAUAUGAUAUCCAGUUAUAAUAUCUAGCAACGAUAUCUAGCGAUGAUAUCUAGCGAUGAUAUCUAGUGAUGAUAUCUAUCUAGUCGAUGAUAUGAUAAUCUCACGAUGUUGCAGAUUGUUCACUGCGUUCACAUCAACCAUAUGAAGGUUAUCUAUAUUAAUAUUGAUAUCUGAAGGUUCUUAUAAAUUAUAUUUAGCUCUAAGAGAUAUUUAUAAUAUAUUUUAAGAAUGAUUGGUGAUUCUAUCUUGAUAUUUUGAUUUUUUUUUUACAAUGUAACCGUGUUUUUUUUGAGAGGCAUUUUUCAAUGAUGUACUUCAUAUCUGAAUAUUGAAUAUUUGUAAAUAAAAAUUAGAUCAAUCAAGAGA